UUAUUGAGUAUGCUUGAAGUCUCUCUUUUAUUUCUCUUGCAGGACUGAAAGUGGCAUGAGCUUUGGAUGGUCCACAUUGGCUUCAAAGGAAAAUCUUUCGCGUAUGUUCUUUUCAAAGGGAUUAGUCAUAACCAAAGGGAGGCAUCACUGCAACAAAAUAGCUUUGGUGAAGAAAAUAUUAAAUAUAUGCCAUUGGCUUGUAUUUUGUUCUUG